ACACUCCUGCGGGAGGCAGCAGUGGGGAAUAUUGGACAAUGGGCGCAAGCCUGAUCCAGCCAUGCCGCGUGAGUGAUGAAGGCCCUAGGGUUGUAAAGCUCUUUCACCGGUGAAGAUAAUGACGGUAACCGGAGAAGAAGCCCCGGCUAACUUCGUGCCAGCAGCCGCGGUAAUACGCAGGGGGCUAGCGUUGUUCGGAUUUACUGGGCGUAAAGCGCACGUAGGCGGACUAUUAAGUCAGGGGUGAAAUCCCGGGGCUCAACCCCGGAACUGCCUUUGAUACUGGUAGUCUUGAGUUCGAGAGAGGUGAGUGGAAUUCCGAGUGUAGAGGUGAAAUUCGUAGAUAUUCGGAGGAACACCAGUGGCGAAGGCGGCUCACUGGCUCGAUACUGACGCUGAGGUGCGAAAGCGUGGGGAGCAAACAGGAUUAGAUACCCGAGUAGUCCCAU
rnacentral:rRNA from 1 species